CUUACAUAGAUGGAAAGCCGCGAUGGUGCAUGCUCACAGAGAAGUGUCCUCACAUAUAGAUGGAAAGCCGCGAUGGUGCAUGCUCAGAGAGAGGUGUCCUUACAUAGAUGGAAAGCCGCGAUGGUGCAUGCUCACAGAGAGGUGUCCUUACAUAUAGAUGGAAAGCUGCGAUGGUGCAUGCUCAGAGAGAAGUGUCCUCACAUAUAGAUGGAAAGCCGCGAUGGUGCAUGCUCACAGAGACAUUGGUUAGCAUUUUAUAAAACACAGGAAGGCACCAAGGAACAAGCCUCGUGACCAGGGUUAGACCUGGACAUUCAUAUCCUUCCAAUAUUUCUCCAUGUUUAUAUAAUUUCCCUUAGUCUCUGGAACAAAGCACUGACAGCGUUAAAGGUGAGAGGACAGACCUCCCCCAUCUAGGGAACCACAGAGGUGGAACAGGCGGUGGUGGCUAUAGAAUGGUGUAGACGGAUGGGUAUAUACAUGGGCAGGUGUGUACAUUUGCAUAUGGGACAGCUUUAUGUGCUUGAGGCCUGCAGGCCGGUGUCAGGGUGUUUACAGGUGACUACAGUAGAAAAGCACACCCGGGACCUGCACUGUAUGCUGGACCCUGCAAACCUGGAAGGUGCCCUCUGGCGGCAGUACUCACGGGCCAGUCAUCAUCUCUACGGGCCUGUCGCAGGAGAUGCACUUUACCCUCUCGAACAAUUUCCUGGAGGACAAGGAGGUCAGUGGCCAGGGGUUAACAGGGCCCUGGGCAGGGAGUGAGGUGAGCUUAAAGUCCCUUAAUCCCCUUUGUCUGUGCCUGUGGCCCCGGGACAGAGCGCUUUGGUUUCCCAUCAGACUGGCAUAUCACAUCUAUUUUUUUAAAAAUGCCCUUGGCGGAGGGAGGUAUGUGUAACCCGAUGGCAAGCCUGCCUGCCUGGGGACAGGAAUCACUGGGCCUCAUUGUCCAGAUAGGUCUGCCAAUUGUGUAGGCUUGUCCUGGUUCCCUUCCCCUCUCUGAGCCUCAGUUUCCUCAUCUGAAGAGAAGGCUAGAAGCGCUGUGCUCCAUCCCUCCCUCCCUGCCCCCAUCCCCAUGUCUGAGAUCUAGAAUUCUAGGCUUUCCUCUGUUGGCAGCAGCAUCAGCGGUACCACCCUCAGUGAACUCACUUCUUAAAGCCUGCAGCGCUGUCAGGGUCGAAUCGGAGACCUUCUAGCAGAAGCUUCCGGACCACCUUCCAGACCUCUUCUAUGUCCUUCUUUAGGCUAUUCAGAUCGCUCUGGACUAGCUGCCAAUCACAGGGAAGACAGAAGUACAGCCAGUGAGCUCACCUGAACAGCCUGCGAAGUCAUACACAGAAUAAGAGAAAGACAUCAAGGGGCUCAUGGCUUUGUGGGUGCUCUUGGCACAGGGAAGUUGCAAGGUGAGAUUUCCAGUGGCCAUUGCAAGAAAUGACAUCAGUUCCUGCCUCCAAACCCACUGUUCUGCUCAAUUGCAGGGUUGGAGGCUGGAAAACUAUUUCUCCAGUGAACACCAUGCCCUGACUUUAACACAUCUGAUAAAUAUUUAUGGAAAGUUUGCAUGUAAAGUGGA
rnacentral:lncRNA from 1 species